AGCAGCCGCGGUAAUUCCAGCUCCAAUAGCGUAUAUUAAAGUUGUUGCAGUUAAAAAGCUCGUAGUUGAAUUUCGGGAUCAGUAUGUUGGUCGUGCUUCGGUACGUACUGUCAUUACUGGUUUCUACCUUCUGAAGAACCUUGAUGUCAUUAAUUUGGUGUCUUGGGGAAUCAGGACUGUUACUUUGAAAAGAUUAGAGUGUUUAAAGCAAGCAUACGCUUGAAUACAUUAGCAUGGAAUAAUGAAAUAGGACGUUUGAUUCUAUUUUGUUGGUUUCUAGGAUCGACGUAAUGAUUAAUAGGGAUAGUUGGGGGCAUUAGUAUUCAAUUGUCAGAGGUGAAAUUCUUGGAUUUAUUGAAGACUAACUACUGCGAAAGCAUUUGCCAAGGAUGUUUUCAUUAAUCAAGAACGAAGUUAGGGGAUCGAAGACGAUCAGAUACCGUCGUAGUCUUAACCAUAAACUAUGCCGACUAGGGAUCGGAUGAUGUUAUUUUUUAAUGACUCAUUCGGCGCCUUACGG
rnacentral:misc_RNA from 1 species